GGUAAGGCCCUUCGGGGUACACGAGCGGCGAACGGGUGAGUAACACGUGAGCAACCUGCCCCUGACUCCGGGAUAAGCGGUGGAAACGCCGUCUAAUACCGGAUAUGACACACCAUCUCCUGGUGGUGUGUGGAAAGUUUUGUCGGUCAGGGAUGGGCUCGCGGCCUAUCAGCUAGUUGGUGGGGUAAAGGCCUACCAAGGCGAUUACGGGUAGCCGGCCUGAGAGGGCGACCGGCCACACUGGGACUGAGACACGGCCCAGACUCCUGCGGGAGGCAGCAGUGGGGAAUAUUGCACAAUGGGCGAAAGCCUGAUGCAGCGACGCCGCGUGGGGGAUGACGGCCUUCGGGUUGUAAACCUCUUUUACCACCAACGCAGGCCCCGGGUUCUCUCGGGGUUGACGGUAGGUGGGGAAUAAGGACCGGCUAACUACGUGCCAGCAGCCGCGGUAAUACGUAGGGUCCGAGCGUUGUCCGGAAUUAUUGGGCGUAAAGAGCUCGUAGGCGGCGUGUCGCGUCUGCUGUGAAAGACCGGGGCUUAACCCCGGUUCUGCAGUGGAUACGGGCAUGCUAGAGGUAGGUAGGGGAGACUGGAAUUCCUGGUGUAGCGGUGAAAUGCGCAGAUAUCAGGAGGAACACCGGUGGCGAAGGCGGGUCUCUGGGCCUUACCUGACGCUGAGGAGCGAAAGCAUGGGGAGCGAACAGGAUUAGAUACCCUGGU
rnacentral:rRNA from 1 species